CAGUCGCCACGGGAAUACGGAGGGGGCUAGCGUUGUUCGGAAUUACUGGGCGUAAAGCGCACGUAGGCGGCUUGGUAAGUUAGAGGUGAAAGCCCGGAGCUCAACUCCGGAAUUGCCUUUAAGACUGCCGAGCUAGCAGGUGAGAGAGGUAAGUGGAAUUCCGAGUGUAGAGGUGAAAUUCGUAGAUAUUCGGAAGAACACCAGUGGCGAAGGCGGCUUACUGGCUCAUACUGGACGCUGAGGUGCGAAAGCGUGGGGAGCAAACAGGAUUAGAUACCCCAGUAGUCCCUGUCUCUUAUAA
rnacentral:rRNA from 1 species